AUGAAGUCCUUCGGGAUGGAUUAGUGGCGCACGGGUGAGUAAUAUAUAGUUAAUGUACCUUCAAGACUGGGAUAGCCACUGGAAACGGUGAUUAAUACUAGAUAUACCUCUUUAACAUAAGUUAGAGUGGGAAAUGUUUUUUCGCUUGAAGAUCAGACUAUAUCCCAUCAGUUUGUUGGUGAGGUAAUGGCUCACCAAGGCAAUGACGGGUAGCGGGUUUGAGAGGAUGAUCCGCCACACUGGUACUGAGACACGGACCAGACUCCUACGGGAGGCAGCAGUGAGGAAUAUUGCACAAUGGGGGAAACCCUGAUGCAGCAACGCCGCGUGGAGGAUGACGCAUUUCGGUGUGUAAACUCCUUUUAUGAGUCAAGAAAAUGACGGUAGCUCAUGAAUAAGCACCGGCUAACUCCGUGCCAGCAGCCGCGGUAAUACGGAGGGUGCAAGCGUUACUCGGAAUCACUGGGCGUAAAGGACGCGUAGGCGGGUUGGUAAGUCAGAUGUGAAAUCCUACAGCUCAACUGUAGAACUGCAUUUGAAACUACCGACCUAAAGUAUGGGAGGGGGAGAUGGAAUUAGUGGUGUAGGGGUAAAAUCCGUAGAUAUCACUAGGAAUCCAAAAGCGAAGGCGAUCUCCUGGAACAUACUGACGCUAAGGCGUGGAAANCGUGGGGAGCAAACAGGAUUANAUNCCCUGGNAGUCCACGCCCUAAACAUGAAACUAAUCGUCGGAAACUUGUCUUUUCGGGGAUGCACUUAACAAAUUAANNGUUCCNCCUGGGGAGUACGGGCGCNAGAAUUAAACUCAAAGGAAGUCGAACG
rnacentral:rRNA from 1 species